rnacentral:rRNA from 1 species
GAUGAACGCUAGCGAUAGGCUUAACACAUGCAAGUCGAGGGGCAGCAUGGUCUUAGCUUGCUAAGACUGAUGGCGACCGGCGCACGGGUGCGUAACGCGUAUGCAACUUGCCUCACAGAGGGGGAUAACCCGUCGAAAGACGGACUAAUACCGCGUACACUUGGGAUAGGGCAUCCUGACCCAAGGAAAUGAAAUUCGCUGUGAGAUAGGCAUGCGUCCCAUUAGCUAGUUGGUGAGGUAACGGCUCACCAAGGCGACGAUGGGUAGGGGAACUGAGAGGUUGAACCCCCACACUGGUACUGAGACACGGACCAGACUACUACGGGAGGCAGCAGUGAGGAAUAUUGGUCAAUGGGCGAGAGCCUGAACCAGCCAAGUCGCGUGAAGGAUGACUGUCUUAUGGAUUGUAAACUUCUUUUAUACGGGAAUAACAAGAGCCACGUGUGGCUCCCUGCAUGUACCGUAUGAAUAAGCAUCGGCUAACUCCGUG